rnacentral:rRNA from 1 species
GAUGAACGCUGGCGGCGUGCCUAAUACAUGCAAGUCGAACGAAUUACUUAAGGGUAAUGAGUGGCGAACGGGUGAGUAAGAUAUAGGUAACCUGGCUUACAGAGGGGGAUAGCUACUGGAAACGGUAGGUAAAACCGCAUAAAUAUGAUAAUCGCAUGAAUAUGAUAUAAAAGUUCCUAAGGGAAUACUGUAAGAUGGGCCUAUAGCGCAUUAGCUAGUUGGUAGGGUAAAAGCGUACCAAGGCGACGAUGCGUAGCCGGACUGAGAGGUUGAACGGCCACACUGGGACUGAGACACGGCCCAGACUCCUACGGGAGGCAGCAGUAGGGAAUUUUCGGCAAUGGGGGAAACCCUGACCGAGCAACGCCGCGUGAAGGAAGAAGGUAUUCGUAUCGUAAACUUCUGUGAUAGAGGAAGAAAGGCUAUAACAGGGAAUGGUUAUAGAGAUGACGGUACUCUAAGAGGAAGCCACGGCUAACUACGUGCCAGCAGCCGCGGUAAAACGUAGGUGGCAAGCGUUAUCCGGAAUUAUUGGGCGUAAAGAGGGAGCAGGCGGAAAUCAGGGUCUAAGUUGAAAGGCUAGUGCUUAACAUUAGGAAUGGCUUAGAAACCGGAUAUCUAGAGUUCUGAAGAGGAUCGUGGAAUUCCAUGAGUAGCGGUGAAAUGCGUAGAUAUAUGGAGGGACACCAGUGGCGAAGGCGACGAUCUGGGCAGAAACUGACGCUGAGUCCCGAAAGCGUGGGGAGCAAAUAGGAUUAGAUACCCUAGUAGUCCACGCCGUAAACGAUGAGUACUAAGUGUUGGUGGUGAGACAUCAGUGCUGUAGUAAACACAAUAAGUACUCCGCCUGAGUAGUACGUUCGCAAGAAUGAAACUCAAAGGAAUUGACGGGGGCCCGCACAAGCGGUGGAGCAUGUGGUUUAAUUCGAAGCAACGCGAAGAACCUUACCAAGUCUUGACAUACUGAUGAAGGCUCUAGAGAUAGAGAGAUAGAUACAUCAGAUACAGGUGGUGCAUGGUUGUCGUCAGCUCGUGUCGUGAGAUGUUGGGUUAAGUCCCGCAACGAGCGCAACCCUUGUCGUUAGUUACCAGCAUGUAAGGAUGGGGACUCUAGCGAGACAGCCGAGGAAUCGGAGGAAGGCGGGGAUGACGUCAAAUCAUCAUGCCCUAUAUGACUUGGGCUACACACGUGCUACAAUGGUCGGUACAAAGUGAAGCGAGUUCGCGAGGAUAAGCAAAGCACAAAAAGCCGAUCACAGUUCGGAUUGUAGUCUGCAACUCGACUACAUGAAGUUGGAAUCGCUAGUAAUCGCAAAUCAGCAAUGUUGCGGUGAAUACGUUCUCGGGCCUUGUACACACCGCCCGUCACACCAUGAGAGUUGAUAACACCCGAAGCCGGUGGCCGAACCUUUUAGGAGGAAGGAGCUGUCGAAGGUGGGAUUGAUGAUUAGGGUG